ACAGCAGUAGCCGCGGUAAUACGUAGGUCCCGAGCGUUGUCCGGAUUUAUUGGGCGUAAAGCGAGCGCAGGCGGUUAGAUAAGUCUGAAGUUAAAGGCUGUGGCUUAACCAUAGUACGCUUUGGAAACUGUUUAACUUGAGUGCAAGAGGGGAGAGUGGAAUUCCAUGUGUAGCGGUGAAAUGCGUAGAUAUAUGGAGGAACACCGGUGGCGAAAGUGGCUCUCUGGCUUGUAACUGACGCUGAGGCUCGAAAGCGUGGGGAGCAAACAGGAUUAGAUACCCCCGUAGUCCCUGUCUCUUAUACA
rnacentral:rRNA from 1 species